GGAGCUCCUAAAAGGGAAAAGACAAUUUAACCAGCAUUUGCAACCUCACAUUCUUGUUCCCUUCUCUACUUCUGCGCUAGGAGGGACCUGGUGGAUCAGGAGGUGCUGACAAGGCUGGGAAACAACACUGGUACCUCUGCAGAGAGCUUGUUGCUGGCACUAAGGCUGAGGCAGUGACAGAGGAGUAGAAGGAUAAGCAUUGUUAGAGGGAACUGGAGCCUUUCUUGCUAAGCUUUUUGUUUAGGGGAAGCUCACUAGCUUCUUUUGCUAGUGAGGGAGCAAGCCAGCUUGGGCAGUUGGAAGAACUUCCCACCCUCUCCUCUUUCCCCUAGGGCAGGGAGGCAUCAGGCUUUGGAGCUGUGGUAAAGUGUGAAAGUCUCUUCUGCUGGCUCUGCUGCUGCAUGAUUUUAUAUCUGUGGGGCAAAAGGUUCAUUAGCGCACACACCUUGUGGUAAAUGUGCUACUAAAAGAUCUGUCCCUCUUUCAGGAGAGUGCCAAGCUCCUCUAAGCAAGACUCUGGACAAGACCCUUUUCUCCAAUUCUGCCCACCACUGCCAUGGUGAUUUCCUUUGCACUGUGGGGGAGAACAUGUCCUGCAGUUCUAGACAAGCUCCACAUCUGCACCCUGCUGUGGGCCAUAGUUCUGUGCAGUUUCCUCGCUGCCUUGUCAGUCAGGCUGUUGGAACCUACCUCCCAUCAUCAUCUGCAUCUACAGCCUCCUAUCUAAGCACCUCAGAGCACCCUUGGCUGUGACAGCCCAAAGCUGACUCCGAACAGCCACUGCAAACUACAGAAACAUUGCUCCUGCAGGACCUGCAGGUGUCCCUGAAGGGUUACCAUGCUGUUUGCCAUGUCCCACCUGAGGGACACAGUUGCUGGACUCUGACUGCUCUCACACAGACUUUGGCAUGGGUCUGGACAAUCCAGGCAACAAAUACAGGAGAAACAAAACCUAUGGAACAGAUCCCUUCUGGUGUAAAUGGGCUGAGCUUGGCCAAGUCAUGCUGGUUUACACCGGCAUGACUUACCCAGCACUCCUCACAGCAGGUGGAAAGGCACCUGUUUAAACUGGGUGCCAACCACAGCACUAAUUCUGAACAGCUUUGUGUAAACUUUGUGACCUGCUCAGAACAUUCACCUGGGGAGGAAGCUCAGUGACAGGUGGAGACACACAAGAGGCUACCUUGUCUCAAGGGUGUUCUAGCUCAGCCAGCUGUGCACCUCAACCCCGUGCUUGUCCCUGGGGAAGAUGUGUGUGAAAACGAGUGUCUUGUCCCUCCCUUGGGCAUGUACAUGCAGUUGAGGACUUGGAAUGUGUUGAAAGCUGUUUUGAUGUGUUCUACUCUAACUGUAUCUCAGAUCUUUCUCCUGCUGCUGCUGCUGCACCACCAUGUGCCUUUUUUUUUUUCCUCCUCCUAUUUAAGCCUCCUUACUUCCAAAAAGCUCGGUUUUUCACCCGCUCCUCUCUGUGGGGGGAAGUAGCUCCUUUGGGAGCUUCGAGAUGAGGCUGAGAUCAUGUGAGGCUGAACAUUCCUGUCCUGCUUCUGCUGCAGACGGCUCCCGCUGCUGCUCCGCGUGCUGUAGAGUCUGGUGCUCACGCCCUCCGCGCUCCGUGGCAGCUCCUUCAGGGACCUGCUCAGCUGCUUCCCUUUGCUGUGGAACAUCUCACGCUUGUAGGUGCUGCUGCUCACAGGAGUGCAGCUCUUAGGCAGUGGCUGCAAGGCAUGGUCUGUCCUCUCCGGUUCUGAGGUGAAGUUCACAGGCCUAAGGAAGCAAAUAUCCAAGCUGGACUCGGAAGAGGCCGGGGAGCAGUUCUCAAAAAGAGCGAGGUUUUGGAAGGUGUCGUCUUCGUAGGGGCCUGGCAUGGUGAAAACCUCCCCAGGGUACUCAAACUCUUCAUAGCUUGGUGCAAAGUUCCUGGAAUCCUGCAGCAGUUCCACAGAGGUUCUGAUGGCUCUCUCGGUGUUCCCCACCGCAUCAGCCGGUGGCGCUUCAUACUCCAUUUCGGGGAUGGAUUGCAAGGGGGCUGUCAAGGCCUUAAGUUCCUGCUCUGUCAGCUGAGAGGAGGCAAGGAUGUUCUCUGGCCUCUCGUGUUUUCUGCUUUCCAUCUCCCAGUCAGGGGGCUUUACAGCCUGGAUGUUCUCCAUCACGGCUGGCUGGGGUUUCUUCAUCUGCGGCAUCAAAUGCCUUAAAAAUAAAAAACAAAACAAAACAAAAAAAACAGACGGAAGUGGAAUACUAAAGGAUGACAGAGACACAUGACAAAUCCCCUCCACCCCUUCACUUCCCCAGCCCUAUUGUGUUGAUUUUAUGGCCAAAAGAUUCUCUCCUGUCUUGGAGAACAAUAACAGAGGUGUCUCUUACAGAAACUGUCUGGUUAGGAGGACCAAACUUGGAGAGACAGAGCUGCUUCUCCAGUAACUUUGGCUGACCUUUGUACUCUGCAGCAUGAAAUUAAUAGAAACUGAGAUGAGAAGCCAACUGCUCCAUCUCUCUCUCCUGUUCAUCUGCAUUUUAGAUUUUAACUUUCCUUCUCUCACUGUAAUGUAGCUGUGCCUCACUU